ACAUGAUUAUGAUUAUGAAACCAAAAGAAAAAAUAUAUAUAAAUCCUACAAAAGGUGAAAGGUAGCAAAGGAAAGAAAAGUAAAUUCAUACAAGCAAGAGAACUUGAUUCAAAGUUAUAGAGAGAGAAAAAAAACACACACACACACAUACACAGCUAAAAGAAAGACACAGAAACAAAACAAAAUAAAAACUCUGUUAAAAAGCUAUGAGGAAAAGAAACAUGUGGUAUUGGAAUUCCGAGAGAGAGAGAGAGAGAGAGAGAGAGAGAGAGAGAGAGAGAGAGAGAAACUGAAACCCUUCUCUGGUUUGUUCUUCCUUUUGGUUUAAAACAGCUUUUUGAAGGGUCUUUGGAGGUUGGAAGGUUUAGCUAAGGUGGGUUGUUUCUGUUAUGGAGAUUGGAAGUCAUAUGUUAGUUUUAAGGUAAGAUUCUUACUGAAUUCCUUGUUUUUAUGGAUCUCUUUGCUCUCUGAAAUGUCAGAUGUCGUUUACUUGAAGAAUUUAUUGUCUUUAUCCUGUUAAAAUUAAUUUUCUUUAUCAACAACUAACUGAUUUUGCACCUUAAAAAAAAAAAUUUCUCUCUCUCUCUCUUUCCCUGGCUGAAAGUAUUCUUGGAAAUUUAUGUUUGUAAUACUUAAUUGUUCUUUUCUUCAUCUUGUAAAAAGCUUUUGUUCUCCUGCAGAGAGAUGAUUCUUCUGCUAAGAAACUGAAUUAGCCUUGUGAACGAUUUGUUCCCUUUUCUUAAUUAUUAAAAAAAAAAAAAUAGUAUCUUUCUUGUUUGUCUAAGUAGAUGCUUCUGCUUGUCAGUAUGUGUUUGUU